AUUGAACGCUGGCGGCAGGCCUAACACAUGCAAGUCGAAUGGUAACAGGAAACAGCUUGCUGUUUCGCUGACGAGUGGCGGACGGGUGAGUAAUGUCUGGGAAACUGCCUGAUGGAGGGGGAUAACUACUGAAAACGGUAGCUAAUACCGCAUAACGUCGCAAGACCAAAGAGGGGGACCUUCGGGCCUCUUGCCAUCAGAUGUGCCCAGAUGGGAUUAGCUAGUAGGUGGGGUAACGGCUCACCUAGGCGACGAUCCCUAGCUGGUCUGAGAGGAUGACCAGCCACACUGGAACUGAGACACGGUCCAGACUCCUACGGGAGGCAGCAGUGGGGAAUAUUGCACAAUGGGCGCAAGCCUGAUGCAGCCAUGCCGCGUGUAUGAAGAAGGCCUUCGGGUUGUAAAGUACUUUCAGCGGGGAGGAAGGGAGUAAAGUUAAUACCUUUGCUCAUUGACGUUACCCGCAGAAGAAGCACCGGCUAACUCCGUG
rnacentral:rRNA from 1 species